UCCCAAGGUGAGCUUAAUGAGAACGGAAACCUCCUGUAGAACAAAAGGGUAAAAGCUCACUUAAUAUUGAUGUUCAGUAUGAAUACAAACUGUGAAAGCAUGACCUAUC